ensembl:lncRNA
AAAAAAAAAAAAAAAAAAAAAAAAAAAAAAAAAAAAAAAGAAUGGUAGUGAGCUCCUAAUAUCUCUAGCCACAAUUCUCAAGGGAAGCAAAUGGGGAGGCCAAACAUCUGAUUGCUAAUCUCAUCAGCACCUGAGUAGAAAGGCUGUGAAGGCUGAUGUCCUUUGAGGAAUUCUGAAAUGCUCCUUAAGGGGACUAGGCCCACCCAUGUUGAGAAUCACUAAUUUAUACUUUUGUUUAAUUUUCUCUCUAUUUUUUCUUCUUCUCCUCCUUCUCCUUCUCCUUCUCCUUCUUCUUCUUCUUUUUUUUCCCAGAGAUGUUAUGCUAAGCUGCCCAGGCUGCUCUCAAACUCCUGGGUUCAAGCGAUCCUCCUGCCUUGGCCUCCCGAGUAUGUUGAAUUUUGACACUGAAACAUGCAGUCUCUCAGGGCUCCCUAAUGACCUUACCCGGUGGUUCUCAAGACUGACUUCAGGAUCAUCUGGGAGAAGCUGAAAGGCACAGGCAGUGUUCACCACCUUGAACUGAAGAUCACUGAGCACGGCUUUGGGGGAAACCACCGCAGUGACAUCAGAAAGCAGAAAUGCAGACUUCCCUGACCGGGAAUCGAACCCGAGCCACGGCAGUGAAAACGGCGAAUCCUAGCCACUAGACCACCAGGGAGGGACAGUCACAGAAUGUGGGCAACACUUUCUGGGAAAAGAUCUUAGGACAGACGCCUCAACCACCUCAGGCACAUGUUAGAAAGCUACAGGAAUGUCUUAAGAAUAUUUUGCAGUAAUGUGUAUAGUACUGGAUGCAGUGACUGCUGCCUGGGCCAGAGGGUGGCAGAAGGCUUUAGGGGCAGAAACGUUGGAAGAAAGAUUGUCACAAGUCAAACUGGGGAAGAGAAAAAUAUUUUCCAAAUCAUUUUUCUCACGGACUCCCUCUUACACGGGAGUUUCUCAUCUCCCUUCCUCCCUCCCUCCCGCACUCCUUCUUUCUUCCUAAAAUCAGCAUCUCCUUCACUUACAUAGUUUCCCCACGGUUGACUGAGAAAAACAUGUGUCUCUUUUGCCCCCCUCCCCCAAAGGAUCCUAUUCCUGAUCUCUAAAUAUGCCCCUCCCCAUGCAGAGGGAGGAGCAUUCAGAGCCUGGGAGACCUGCCUACCUGGAGCUGCACCCAUCUUUGAGGCCAUGCUCUGUUUCCUGGAACCUGAAAUGGAUUUACCUAUUCUAUGUACUUCACAGAAAUGAAAUCACAUAAUGUGUCACAUUUUGUACAGUUUCUCUCACUUGGCAUAGUUUUGGGUUCAUUCAUGUCAUAGUACGUGCUAGGACUUCAUUUCUUCUAUGGCCAAAUAAUAUUUUAUGUAUAUACCACAUUUCCUUUAUCCAUUCAUCUGUUGAUGGGCAUUUGGGUUGUUUCCACCUUUUGGGUGUUGUGAAUAUUGCUGCUAUGAACAUUUAUGUACAAGCAUUUGUUUGAGUAUCUGUUUUUUAUUUUUGGGGGUUAUCUAUUUAGUAGUGGAAUUACUAAGUCACUUAUAUUCCCACCAGCCUAAGUAAAUAUGUAGGAACAGAAAACAGAGUAAUGGCUGCCAGGGGCUGGGGAAUGUGGAGUAAUCACAUAAUGAUAUGGGGUUUUACUUUCUUAUGAUGAAAAUGUUUUGGAACUAGAUUGAGAUGGUGGUUGCAUAAUCCUGUGAACGUACUUAAUGCCACUGAAUUUGUUUAUGAUGGUUUCAUUUUUCUCCACAUUUCUGCCUAUGCUUUAUAUUUUCUGUCAUUUUAAAAAUUAUAGCCAUCCUACUGGGUGUGAAGGUACCACUACACAAAAAUUAGAAUGUCUAAAAUUAAAGAGACAGACUAUUUGCAAUGGACUGAAUGUUUGCACACACAGCCCAAAUUCAUAUGUUAAAAUUCUAACUCCCAAGGUUAUGAUAUUACAAGGUGGGGCUUUGGGGAGGUAAUUAGGUCAUGAAGGUGGAGCCUUCAUGAAUAUGAUUAGUGUCUUUAUAAAAGAGACCCUCACCAUGUGAGGCUUCUUAAAAGACUGCUUUCUGCGAGAAAACAGGCCCUCACCAGAAACCAAAUGUGCAAGCACCUUGAUCUUGGACCUCCCAACCUCCAGAACCAUGAGAAAUAAAUUUCUGUUGCUUAUAAGCCA